GACGAACCGUGCGAACGUUAUUCGGAAUCACUGGGCUUAAAGCGCGUGUAGGCGGGCCGGCGCGUCGGCUGCUGAAAUCCCCCGGCUCAACCGGGGAAGGGGCACCGAUACGGCCGGCCUGGAGGGGGGUAGGGGGGACGGGAACUUCCGGUGGAGCGGUGAAAUGCGUUGAGAUCGGAAGGAACGCCCGCGGCGAAAGCGCGUCCCUGGACCCCGCCUGACGCUGAGACGCGAAAGCCAGGGGAGCCGAACGGG
rnacentral:rRNA from 1 species